GACGAACGCUGGCGGCGUGCCUAAUACAUGCAAGUAGAACGCUGAAGGAGGAGCUUGCUUCUCUGGAUGAGUUGCGAACGGGUGAGUAACGCGUAGGUAACCUGCCUGGUAGCGGGGGAUAACUAUUGGAAACGAUAGCUAAUACCGCAUAAUAGUAGAUGUUGCAUGACAUUUGCUUAAAAGGUGCAAUUGCAUCACUACCAGAUGGACCUGCGUUGUAUUAGCUAGUUGGUGAGGUAACGGCUCACCAAGGCGACGAUACAUAGCCGACCUGAGAGGGUGAUCGGCCACACUGGGACUGAGACACGGCCCAGACUCCUACGGGAGGCAGCAGUAGGGAAUCUUCGGCAAUAGACGGAAGUCUGACCGAGCAACGCCGCGUGAGUGAAGAAGGUUGUCGGAUCGUAAAGCUCUGUUGUAAGAGAAGAACGAGUGUGAGAGUGGAAAGUUCACACUGUGACGGUAUCUUACCAGAAAGGGACGGCUAACUACGUG
rnacentral:rRNA from 1 species